AUGUUUGAAAAUCCUGUUUGUCUAUCUACAACAAAAGCUGAUGAGAAAUGUGGGAGUGCUCUAGAUGCUGAUAUUCGUGAAGAAACUGAUUUUCCAAAGCCAGAAACAAAAUCGGACACGGGUACUUCCACGGUAUCUAAUUUUGUUGAAAAUGCAUGUUCUUCACCCGAAGAAACACAGGAGUUACUGAAGGAAAUUGAGACCAUUGCAGAAACCAACACAUCCCAGAUCAACUCUCAAGCCAAUUACCGAGACGGGAUUACAACGCAUGAUGUGGAUAUUUCUGGAAAAUCUUUCGUAAAGAAACUCAUCGCUCUAAACAUUGAAACGAAUGUCGAAGGAUCCCUUCCUUCAGUACAUGAUGGUGCUGAAAUUGCAUUUUUAGUUUCAGAACCGGCUCAUCGAGAAGUGGAUCUUCAGUCUCCGAUCGUUGUGCAGCAAGGACAAAAUGAUUUUCAGGAAUCAGAUAAGAAUAUUUCUGUCUCUGCUACUUAUUCAGAAUCAUUUAAAGAAACUUCUGAUAUUCAAACAAGUGAGCUCGACUUUUCUUUGAGGUCUCCACAAAAAUCACCGUGUGAAACUUCGUGUAUCAAUUCUGACAGUCAAAUAAACCCGAGUGAAGAAUGCCUAAGUAUCCUUUCACAGACUGUCGAACAAUCAGAAUUCAGUGCAAAGACUAGCUCCAGCACUCCUCACUAUGAUCCUAAAAUUGACACUAUCUCUUCAAAUACUUCUCCCGAGCAAAGCUAUUCUAAUGUUGAGGAUCGUCUUCCCUUUGAUAUCACAUUCAAUUCCUCUCAAGUCUCGUCACAAGAGCCUCUUUCCGACUCUAAGCAGCCAGUCUCGGAAAGUUUAAUUCAUGAAGCAGUUUUGGAAAAUGAGACUCUUCCUAAGGCUGUCAAAUCAGGUGAAAUGAUGACAGACUUUACUGUAGACUCAGGACCAAUAUCUGGUGAGGAUGUGUCGAUAAUCAGACCAUCUAGUGAUUCUAAAAUUGAGCCAUGUACAUUACUUGAUCAGGGAGAGCAAUCCAAAAAUCUGACUUCUAGCCCAAUCGAUAUCCAAAUUGAAUCAGAAUCUGAGCUGAAUAUCCAUGCAGUUCCUAGUCAAGUCAAAACAGAGACUGGUUUGGAAAUAUCUACCGUAGAAACUUCAAGAAAGUUAAAUGAUGAAUCAGAAACAGCAACCGUUCUGAAUGAAGCUCGACAAGAAACUGAGAAGACGGUUUCAACCAACAAUGAUCGCAAUACUCCCAAUCCUGCAUCGAUUAUACUUGAUGAUGCGAAUCAAUUCUCAUCAGAAGCAAGUACCAUUCUCUCUGAAGCUCUAAUCAAACGUAAAACUGAAUCGGACAUUUCAGAGAAUUCAAGCAACAUUUCAUCUUUUGAAAAUCAAGGAAAAAGUCCUUCCGUUGAAAUUUUGGUGUCAUCAAAAACUGAAAUGGAUAUCGCAGAAUUCGUAGAAGACACUCACCUAGGAGGUCAAACUGUAUCAUCUCCCAUCGAAAAUUCAUCGAAUGUUGACGGUCAACCGAACAUCUCAGAAGUCCCUACUAACAUUCAGUCGGAAAAUGAAACAGAAGUUUUGCCUUUUACAUCUCAAAUUGAAACCAAAUCUGAAUCAAAUUCUACAUUCAUAUCAGAUGAUCAAGAGUUGAUAGGGAACUCAGAGUCAACUAUCGGAAAUGUUCAAACCCUUUCAGAAAAAGAGCCGCAAUCAAGACCACAAAUUCCUCUUUCUGAAACUGAGGUAAAACUAGAAAGUGAACUGACAAUCAAUCUCAUUGCACGUGAUCCUCCAAGGAAAGAUUCAUCGCGAACCACCUCCACCAAAGCUCCGGUCGAAAUAGAGACCUCACCAAACAUAAAUCAGCUUUCCAUUAAUGUCCCAUCAGAAGAACAGACAAAGAAGUCUUCCAAUGACGCUCGAGCUGAAUUACGAAGCGAAUCAGGUUUCUCAGAUACUGGUGUCAUCGAAGGCAACUCUCGACAAAACAAAGAAACAUUUAACAACACUGAGAUAGUUGCAGAAAGGAAAAAUAAUGAGACGGACAGCUUUGAAAGUUUAAGUAACACACUGCCUAAAUGCCCUCGAGAAAGGUCUUCAGUGAAAGCUCUAGAUGAAAUUAAGACCGAGUCUAAAGAUUCAAUUAUCUCUAGCAACAUUGUAGCUGAAUGUUCACCAAAAUGUUCUCUUUUUGAGGUUUCAAAUGUAACGGAAAAAGGAUUAUGUACCUCCAUGAUGUCCACUCCCAUUCAGCCUGAAAGUAUCGAGCGAACCCGUCUUGUUGAAACUCAAGGGGAAGCAGAAGGUGAAGAUGUGUCGUCAAUUGAGAGUCAGAAUCCAUUUGUGAAAGAUGGGGAAAUCCCAUCUUGUAAAACCAUUGACGAACCAGUGUUAGACAUCCUGCCGGACACAGUGCAAUCAGUAGGAAGUGAAGACUCCGAUAGAGAAAUAGGUAAACCUCCUACUGAACCACUAGGAUCCUUUGAAUCAGCCCCAAUCAAUAGUAUACAAACAGAAGAACAUGUUGAUAUCUCCCGAUCAACAGAAAACUCUCCAUCAAAAGAGGGAAGGUCUAAGAUCGACUCUUUGGUGCUGAAUUAUGAUACAACAGACACACUAUCGGAAACCGCGUUAGACAUUACAGCAUCCGCAGGUAUUAGUGAUCAGUCCAAAUCACUCGCAACCGAUGAUGUCCGAACGAAACAUUCCCUAACGUUGGACGCUUCAGUAUUUGUCGCUGAAAGCUGUCAUGCCGACUCAUUAACAAUCGACCAAGAAGAGUCGGAAGAACUAGUCAAACCAUCGAUUGUGCCUGACGCUGAAGAAGCUGUGAAAGAAAGCUCUCAGAUAAUAUUAGCCCCAGAAGAUCUUUUAGAUUCGACACAACCAGCGAUUGUCUCCUCGAUGCCGGAUGAUAUAACAUCAGCAGAAGAAUACAUUGAGAAGAACAAUUUGAUGACAAAACCAUUAGUCAAAGUUUCUUCUGCCCAAGAUGUUCUGCCAUCUUCAGAAAAAUCAUGUUAG
rnacentral:lncRNA from 1 species